GACGAACGCUGACGGUGUGCUCUAGACAUGCAAGUCGAACGAGAAAGCCCUUCGGGGUUAGUAAAGUGGCGAACGGGUGAGUAACACGUGGGCAAUCUGCCCCUCCGCAGGGGGACGAACCGGAGGAAACUCCGGCUAAUACCCCGUAACGUUCAAAGGGAGGCAUCUCUCUUCGAAGAAAGGUAGCUUCGGCCAUCCGGCGAGGGAUGAGCCCGCGGUGCAUUAGCUAGUUGGUGGGGUAACGGCCUACCAAGGCGACGAUGCAUAGCUGGUCUGAGAGGAUGAUCAGCCACACUGGGACUGAGACACGGCCCAGACUCC
rnacentral:rRNA from 1 species